rnacentral:rRNA from 1 species
AACACAUGCAAGUCGAGCGGCCGUCCCGUAGCAAUACGGCAGCGGCAGACGGGAGAGUAACACGUGGGAACGUGCCCUUCGGUUCGGAAUAACUCGGGGAAACUCGAGCUAAUACCGAAUAAGCCCUUACGGGGAAAGAUUUAUCGCCGAUGGAGCGGCCCGCGUCUGAUUAGCUAGUUGGUGAGGUAACGGCUCACCAAGGCUACGAUCAGUAGCUGGUCUGAGAGGAUGAUCAGCCUCACUGGGACUGAGACACGGCCCAGACUCCUACGGGAGGCAGCAGUGGGGAAUAUUGGACAAUGGGCGCAAGCCUGAUCCAGCCAUGCCGCGUGGAUGAUGAAGGCCUUAGGGUUGUAAAGUCCUUUUAACGGGGAAGAUAAU